UACACUGACGGAGCCAGCGAGUACUGGCGCAAGCCUUCCUUAGCCGAAAGGUUCGGGUAAUCUUGGGAAACUCCGUCGUGCUGGGGAUAGUCCUUUGCAAUUAUCGGACUUGAACGAGGAAUUCCUAGUAAGCGCGGUUCAUCAGAUCGCGUUGAUUACGUCCCUGCCCUUUGUACACACCGCCCGUCGCUACUACCGAUUGAAUGGCUUAGUGAGGCCUUCGGAUUGGCGUAUUGUUGCCGGCAACGGCUAGCGAUAUGCCGAGAAGUUGGUCAAACUUGGUCAUUUAGAGGAAGUAAAAGUCGUAACAAGGUAUCCGUAGGUGAACCUGCGGAUGGAUCAUUAACGUUCUUUGAGAAAAGUAAAAUCUAUAUUAUAAUAAUAUAAUAAUGACAUAGUAUAGCAAUAUAUUAUGUCUUAUUAUAUUCAUUAUUUAUAUAUUUUUCUUUCUAUCUCAAAUAAUUAUAAUAACACCCUUGUGGUGAAUAUAGGUAAAUGUUUUGACGAGUAAUAUGUGAUGAUAAUGAUAGUGUAGUUUACUACACUAGUGUUAUUAUUAUUAUUAUUACAAGUUGAUAACAGAUUAAUUAUAUAUAAACGCAUUGUUUAAAUUUUAUUAAUAACUAAAGUUUACCUUGUGAAUGUAAUAAUGGUACAUUAUUGUAUUAUUAUUUAUUACCAAGUAAAACAAUUAAUAAAUCUAAUACAACUGCUAGCAACGGAUCACUCGGCUCUCGCGUCGAUGAAGAACGUAGCGAACUGCGAAAAUUAAUGCGACCCGCAACACGUGAGUCAUCGAGUCUUUGAACGCAUAUUGCACCCGACGGGUUUACUUGUCGGGUCUGCCUGUCUGAGUAUCAAUAAGGCCCAUUACAAUAAUUACUAUUGUGUGAUUAUUGAAAUGGAGAUCACUAAUUUAUUAGUGGAAUUGAGUGUUUAACGUAGCAAUAUGUUAAUCAUUUGAAAUGGAUUGGUCUAUUAUUGAAUCGUUAAUAAUUGCCAACGACAUCGAGUCAAACAUUGUAAUCAUCUUUAACUAGGUGUUCAUUGUUUAACUUUUGAUAUCAAUGGGUUACAUCGAUUAUUAGCCGCUUGUUAAUUAAUUUAUUAUUAUUAAUAAGUGUUGUUUAUUCUAAUAAUACCAGUUGUAUAUUGUUUAUAUCACCACCAUAUGGUAUAAACGAUAUCCACCGUGUCUAUUAACUUACCUUGAUAUUCGCAAUUAAACCAUCUUGAUCUCAGAUCAGGCAGGAUGACCCGCUGAACUUAAGCAUAUUAGUAAGCGGAGGAAAAGAAACUAACCAGGAUUCCCUUAGUAACGGCGAGUGAAGCGGGAAUAGCCCAAUCUGAAAAGCUAGUCUGCCCUGGAGCAGGUCUCGCAUUGUAGGUUGAUGAAGCGUUUCCUAAGUUAAACCUUUCAGUUAAAGUUCCUUGGAACAGGACAUCAAAGAGGGUGAUAAUCCCGUGAUUAACUGAAUGACAUACCAGUUUAACGACUAUGGAGCGUUUUCUUAGAGUCGGAAUGUUUGGGAUUGCAUUCCAAAAUGGGUGGUAAACUCCAUCUAAGGCUAAAUACUGGCGAGAGACCGAUAGCGAACAAGUACCGUGAGGGAAAGUUGAAAAGCACUCUGGAGAGAGAGUCAAACAGUACGUGAAAUUGCUAGCAGGGAAACGUUGGGCACCAGUACACGGCAAUCAAUGUUAAUGAUCAGUCGGUUUAUUGGCAAGUUAUAAUGCGGUGGUUAUACUUUGGAGAUUGUCCCAUUAGCGGCGACUCACGUAUUAUAAAUUGUUAAUUGACCGGUGCACUCUUUAACAGCCGGGUCAACAUCGGUUAAUGGCGUAUGUUACGCUCGGUUUCUAUACUAAAGCAGGUGGCCCAAACGUACCAUCGGUAUGUUUAACGACUUACCUUUGGACAUAUAAGUGACCUUGCAUCUAUGCCGUUGACCGAGGAUAAUCGAUUCGCGCGUUUCGGCGCAGGGCGUAUUAGUGAUGUUAAAUCUACACGUGUCAUUAAACAGCUUGCUGAUUAAUGGUCACUGUGCUAAUGCCACGUUGUAUAGCAGAGGUAGUUGCAUCGCUAAUACAAGCCACUAGCGAGUCUAUGAAUGUUGACGAAAUGGUAUUCAACGACCCGUCUUGAAACACGGACCAAGGAGUCUAACAUGUCUGCGAGUGUUUGGGUGGAAAACCCUUACGCGGAAUGAAAGUGAAGAGGCAAGUUUCGCGCUUGCCCACUGGUAGGAAUCGAAGCGUUACGGCGCGACGACGCACUACCGACCGA
rnacentral:rRNA from 1 species